rnacentral:rRNA from 1 species
CGUCGGAUUAGCUAGUUGGUGGGGUAAGGGCCCACCAAGGCGACGAUCCGUAGCUGGUCUGAGAGGAUGACCAGUCACACCGGAACUGAGACACGGUCCGGACUCCUACGGGAGGCAGCAGUGGGGAAUAUUGGACAAUGGGCGCAAGCCUGAUCCAGCCAUGCCGCGUGGGUGAAGAAGGCCUUCGGGUUGUAAAGCCCUUUAGGUGGGGAGGAAGGCAUUCAUGCUAAUACCAUGGAUGAUUGACGUUACCCACAGAAUAAGCACCGGCUAACUCCGUGCCAGCAGCCGCGGUAAUACGGAGGGUGCAAGCGUUAAUCGGAAUUACUGGGCGUAAAGCGCACGUAGGCGGUUUGACAAGUGGGAUGUGAAAGCCCUGGGCUCAACCUGGGAACUGCAUCCCAAACUGUCAGGCUAGAGUAUGGUAGAGGGGGGCGGAAUUCCCGGUGUAGCGGUGAAAUGCGUAGAGAUCGGGAGGAACAUCAGUGGCGAAGGCG